GGACGAACGCUGGCGGCGUGCCUAAUCCAUGCAAGUUGAGCGCUGAAGGUUGGUACUUGUACCAACUGGAUGAGCAGCGAACGGGUGAGUAACGCGUGGGGAAUCUGCCUUUGAGCGGGGGACAACAUUUGGAAACGAAUGCUAAUACCGCAUAAAAACUUUAAACACAAGUUUUAAGUUUGAAAGAUGCAAUUGCAUCACUCAAAGAUGAUCCCGCGUUGUAUUAGCUAGUUGGUGAGGUAAAGGCUCACCAAGGCGAUGAUACAUAGCCGACCUGAGAGGGUGAUAGGCCACAUUGGGACUGAGACACGGCCCAAACUCCUACGGGAGGCAGCAGUAGGGAAUCUUCGGCAAUGGACGAAAGUCUGACCGAGCAACGCCGCGUGAGUGAAGAAGGUUUUCGGAUCGUAAAACUCUGUUGGUAGAGAAGAACGUUGGUGAGAGUGGAAAGCUCAUCAAGUGACGGUAACUACCCAGAAAGGGACGGCUAACUACGUG
rnacentral:rRNA from 1 species